UAAGGAUCCCGGUUCUAGCCCCCGGAUCCCCACCUGCAGGGGAGUCGCUUCACAAGGGGUGAAGCAGGUCUGCAGGUGUGUCUAUCUUUCUCUCCCCCACUCUGUCUUCCCCUCCUCUCUCCAUUUCUCUCUGUCCUAUCCAACAACGAAUAGCGUCAACAAGGGCAAUAAUAAUAACCACAACGAGGCUACAACAAGGGCAAAAAAAAAGGGGG